rnacentral:rRNA from 1 species
GACGUAGGGCGCGAGCGUUGUCCGGAUUUAUUGGGCGUAAAGAGCUCGUAGGCGGCUUGUCGCGUCGACUGUGAAAACCCGGGGCUCAACUCCGGGCCUGCAGUCGAUACGGGCUGGCUUGAGUGCGGUAGGGGAGACUGGAAUUCCUGGUGUAGCGGUGAAAUGCGCAGAUAUCAGGAGGAACACCGGUGGCGAAGGCGGGUCUCUGGGCCGAUACUGACGCUGAGGAGCGAAAGCGUGGGGAGCGAACAGG